AUUGAACGCUGGCGGCAUGCCUAACACAUGCAAGUCGAACGGCAGCAUGAUAAGAGCUUGCUCUUAUUGAUGGCGAGUGGCGGACGGGGGAGUAAUAUGUAGGAAUCUGCCUUGAGGAGGGGGAUAACUUAGGGAAACUUAAGCUAAUACCACAUAAGCCCUACGGGGGAAAGCAGGGGAUCGAAAGACUUUGCGCCUUAAGGUGAGCCUACAUCGGAUUAGGUUGUUGGUGGGGUAAAGGCCUACCAAGGCGAUGAUCCGUAGCUGGUCUGAGAGGAUGACCAGCCACACUGGGACUGAGACACGGCCCAGACUCCUACGGGAGGCAGCAGUGGGGAAUAUUGGACAAUGGGCGGAAGCCUGAUCCAGCCAUGCCGCGUGUGUGAAGAAGGCCUUAUGGUUGUAAAGCACUUUAAGCGAGGAGGAGGCUACUUUAGUUAAUACCUAGAGAUAGUGGACGUUACUCGCAGAAUAAGCACCGGCUAACUCUGUGCCAGCCGCCGCAGUAAAAC
rnacentral:rRNA from 1 species